AUACGUAGGGGGCAAGCGUUAUCCGGAUUUACUGGGUGUAAAGGGAGCGUAGACGGAAGGCCAAGUCUGAUGUGAAAGCCCGCGGCUCAACUGCGGGACUGCAUUGGAAACUGGUCAUCUGGAGUGCAGGAGGGGUAAGCGGAAUUCCUAGUGUAGCGGUGAAAUGCGUAGAUAUUAGGAGGAACACCAGAGGCGAAGGCGGCUUACUGGACUGUAACUGACGUUGAGGCUCGAAGGCGUGGUGAGCAAACAGGAUUAGAUACCCUGGUAGUCCACGCGGUAAACGAUGAUCACUAGGUGUUGGCACGCAUAGCGUGUCGGUGCCGCAGCAAACGCAAUAAGUGAUCCACCUGGGGAGUACGUUCGCAAGAAUGAAACUCAAAUGAAUUGACGGGG
rnacentral:rRNA from 1 species